GAUUAGCUUGUUGGUGAGGUAAUGGCUCACCAAGGCGACGAUCCGUAACUGGUCUGAGAGGAUGAUCAGUCACACCGGAACUGAGACACGGUCCGGACUCCUACUGAGGCAGCAGUGGGGAAUAUUGGACAAUGGGCGAAAGCCUGAUCCAGCCAUGCCGCGUGUGUGAAGAAGGUCUUCGGAUUGUAAAGCACUUUAAGUUGGGAGGAAGGGCAGUAAGCUAAUACCUUGCUGUUUUGACGUUACCGACAGAAUAAGCACCGGCUAACUCUGUGCCAGCAGCCGCGGUAAUACAGAGACCUCAAGCGUUAUUCGGAUUUACUGGGCGUAAAGGGUGCGCAGGCGGCCAAGUGUGUCGGAGGUGAAAUCUUGCAGCUUAACUGUAAAAUUG
rnacentral:rRNA from 1 species